AAACCAGCACCUCAAGUGGUCAGGAGGAUUAUUGGGCCUAAAGCAUCCGUAGCCUGCUCUGUAAGUUUUCGGUUAAAUCUGUACGCUCAACGUACAGGCUGCCGGGAAUACUGCAGAGCUAGGGAGUGGGAGAGGUAGACGGUACUCGGGAGGAAGGGGUAAAAUCCUUUGAUCUCUCGAUGACCACCUGUGGCGAAGGCGGUCUACCAGAACACGUUCGACGGUGAGGGAUGAAAGCUGGGGGAGCAAACCGGAUUAGAAACCCCAGUAGUCC
rnacentral:rRNA from 1 species